GUUUGUCAACUUGUAUAGAUAGAGGAUGAAGAGGUGGAGACUCGUUGUUUGUCAACUUUUAUUGAUAGAGGAUGAAGAGUCCCGGAAGAGGGUGGGGUAGCUAAGCCGGAUGUUUUGAUGAAUUUUCAGUACACUUUACAAGUAUAUUAACCGAAUUACAUAUUUUACAUAUUUAGUUUGUCAGCUAUUUUCGGCAGAUUUAAUCAACGCAGAAACAGUACCUAACUUUUUUCCUUUUAACUAAAUCUUGUGUGUUAAAUAUUAAUGGGUAUUGCGUCCUUAUAUGGACUGAAACUUUUCAGACUAGUACAUGGCGCGUAUAGGCUUAGAGAUAGAAUACAAAAAUGCCCCAGACUCUGGAACGUUGGUAUUGUAAUUCUUAAUGAAUACCAGGCUGUCUAGUCAACGGAUAACAACACCGUAAAGGUAUCUAUAUAACACCACUGUCUUUAGGAUCUACUGCCUUCGAUGCAAGUUGUAUUGAAUGGAUAUUUACCUCAUAUUUGGUCCCUAAUAUUGAGAAUUCUAGAGAAAAGGCCACAGAAUAUAUUCCAUAUUUACGAGGAGUCGCUAAAAGCUGAGAAGGUUAUUCAGAAAAAAACUUUCUGAUUCUCUAGCGGUAUGGUUGUUAGUGAUACUACGCAUGGAAACAUGUUAUGUUGUAUUCCACAGUGAUAUUGGCGCAAUAAACAAUGGACACCC